GUAGGUGGCAAGCGUUGUCCGGAAUUAUUGGGCGUAAAGCGCGCGCAGGCGGUUUCUUAAGUCUGAUGUGAAAGCCCACGGCUCAACCGUGGAGGGUCAUUGGAAACUGGGGAACUUGAGUACAGAAGAGGAAAGUGGAAUUCCACGUGUAGCGGUGGAAUGCGUAGAGAUGUGGAGGAACACCAGUGGCGAAGGCGACUUUCCGGUCUGUAACUGACGCUAAGGCGCGAAAGCGUGGGGAGCAAACAGGAUUAGAUACCCUGGUAGUCCACGCCGUAAACGAUGAGUGCUAAGUGUUAGAGGGUUUCCCGCCCCUUUAGUGCUGCAGCUAACGCAUUAAGCACUCCGCCUGGGGAGUACGGUCGCAAGACUG
rnacentral:rRNA from 1 species